ACUCAAAGGAAUAGACGGGGACCCGCACAAGCGGUGGAGCAUGUGGUUUAAUUCGAAGCAACGCGAAGAACCUUACCAAGUCUUGACAUCCCGAUGACCGGCAGGUAAUGCUGCCUUUUCUUCGGAACAUCGGUGACAGGUGGUGCAUGGUUGUCGUCAGCUCGUGUCGUGAGAUGUUGGGUUAAGUCCCGCAACGAGCGCAACCCUUAUCUUUAGUAGCCAGCAGUUCGGCUGGGCACUCUAGAGAGACUGCCAGGGAUAACCUGGAGGAAGGUGGGGAUGACGUCAAAUCAUCAUGCCCCUUAUGACUUGGGCUACACACGUGCUACAAUGGCGUAAACAAAGGGAAGCAAUCUGGUGACAGCAAGCAAAUCCCAAAAAUAACGUCUCAGUUCGGAUUGUAGUCUGCAACUCGACUACAUGAAGCUGGAAUCGCUAGUAAUCGCGAAUCAGAAUGUCGCGGUGAAUACGUUCCCGGGUCUUGCACACACCGCCCGU
rnacentral:rRNA from 1 species